UACGGAGGAUCCAAGCGUUAUCCGGAUUUAUUGGGUUUAAAGGGUGCGUAGGCGGAUUGAUAAGUUAGAGGUGAAAUGUCCGAGCUCAACUCGGGAACUGCCUCUAAUACUGUUGAUCUAGAGAGUAGAUGCGGUAGGCGGAAUGUAUGGUGUAGCGGUGAAAUGCUUAGAGAUCAUACAGAACACCGAUUGCGAAGGCAGCUUGCCAAUCUAUAUCUGACGUUGAGGCACGAAAGCGUGGGGAGCAAACAGG
rnacentral:rRNA from 1 species